rnacentral:misc_RNA from 1 species
GAUGAAGAACGCAGCGAAAUGCGAUAAGUAGUGUGAAUUGCAGAAUUCCGUGAAUCAUCGAAUCUUUGAACGCACAUUGCGCCUUCUGGUAUUCCGGAAGGCAUGCCUGUUCGAGAGUCAUUAACAACCGUUUCGAUCCCUUUCUUUCAGAAAUUACAAAGAGGAAAAGGGUUUGGUUAUGGUGGAGGAGGGAAAGGGAGCGUUUAGCCUGUAAAAAAAGAGGCUGUGUUCCGCCUCCCCCCCAAAAUUGUACAGGCGGUCGUGUGCGCCCACGCAUCGAGGUGUUGUAAAAGCUGCCACGGCACUUUUCACCUGUGCAGUGCGAGAUUGGCCAGCCGGUUUAAAAACCCCUCCAAACAAUCAAAGGUUGACCUCGGAUCAGGUAGGGAUACCCGCUGAACUUAAGCAUAUCAAUAAGCGGAGG